CGGCGGACGGGUGAGUAACGCGUGGGUAACUGCCUCAUACAGGGGGAUAACAGUUAGAAAUGGCUGCUAAUACCGCGUAAGACCACAGUACUGCAUGGUACAGUGGUAAAAACUCCGGUGGUAUGAGAUGGACCCGCGUCUGAUUAGGUAGUUGGUGAGGUAACGGCCCACCAAGCCGACGAUCAGUAGCCGACCUGAGAGGGUGACCGGCCACAUUGGGACUGAGACACGGCCCAG
rnacentral:rRNA from 1 species